rnacentral:rRNA from 1 species
UGCGAGUGAAGCGGCAACAGCUCAAAUUUGAAAUCUGGCCUCUUUGGGGUCCGAGUUGUAAUUUGUAGAGGGUGUUUCGGGCGCGAUGCCGGUCUAAGUUCCUUGGAACAGGACGUCGCAGAGGGUGAGAAUCCCGUACGUGACCGGCGAUCAAGCCCGUGUGAAGCCCCUUCGACGAGUCGAGUUGUUUGGGAAUGCAGCUCAAAAUGGGUGGUAAAUUUCAUCUAAAGCUAAAUAUUGGCCAGAGACCGAUAGCGGACAAGUAGAGUGAUCGAAAGAUGAAAAGCACUUUGGAAAGAGAGUCAAACAGUACGUGAAAUUGUUGAAAGGGAAGCGCUUGCAAUCAGACCGGUCCGGAGGCGAUCAGCCGCUGCUCGUUCAGCGGUGCACUCGCCUGCGAUCCGGCCAGCAUCGGUUUGGGCGGUGGGAUAAAAGUCCCGGGAAUGUAGCUUCUUUCGGGGAGUCUUAUAGCCCGGAUCGCAAUGCCGCCCGCCUGGACCGAGGACCGCGCUUCGGCUAGGAUGCUGGCGUAAUGGUUGCAAGCG